UGGGGAAUAUUGCACAAUGGGGGAAACCCUGAUGCAGCGACGCCGCGUGAGUGAAGAAGUAUUUCGGUAUGUAAAGCUCUAUCAGCAGGGAAGAAAAUGACGGUACCUGACUAAGAAGCCCCGGCUAACUACGUGCCAGCAGCCGCGGUAAUACGUAGGGGGCAAGCGUUAUCCGGAUUUACUGGGUGUAAAGGGAGCGUAGACGGUGAUGCAAGUCAGAAGUGAAAGCCCGGGGCUCAACUCCGGGACUGCUUUUGAAACUGUGUAACUGGAGUGCAGGAGAGGUAAGCGGAAUUCCUAGUG
rnacentral:rRNA from 1 species